GGGACGCGCGCGAGGGGGGUGAGAGCGGGGAGUCAGUUCUGCCGGCCCGGGCAGCGUUCGGGGGUCGGGAGGGUUCGGGAGCGGUCGGGGGGUCACGAACGAUCCCGAAGAGGCUCCCCCGCCGCGGGGAUGGGGUUUCUGUGCAUCUGGAUCCUUUCAGAAAGCAGCGGCGCGCCGUCUGGGCAGCUUAUCUUGAGAUACAGGGGCUGCAAUCGAGUAAUUGGCAAGGAUGCGUCACGAUAAAGGUUCUUCCGCAUGCAGCCGUGACGGCGUCUGGGAGCUGGAAGCCCCAAGCAGGUCGAGAUCGAUGCAGAAGAGCAGACAUCCAUGAGGGGAGUCGGAAUUGAGAGCCGCGUUGGUGAGGGUUAGAGACAUCUGUCAAAACUGAAGUUAUCCACAGGAUCAGAAGAAAAGUAGACUUCUGCCAGCAGAACCUGAUGGGCGCCUUCAGGAGCUGUAAACAUCUCGCCCUUGGGAUACGGGAGGAAUCCAGCCUGCUCCAAGCACCUGCCAUCGAGGAAACACACUCCACUUACCUGGUCCAUGCUUUCUGGCAAAUAAUUUCAUUUGUUCACUGUUCAGAAUAGAAAAACAGGCUGUACAGUUAUACGCAAAACUGUAUGUGAACUCAACCACCACAAAUCGUGGACAUAGAUCUGCCUAAUCAAAAACAUCCCACAAUAGGACAUGUGCUAGGGUAAUUCCUAAUAAUUAGCAAAUCAUGUCUUAACUUUUAUUUGAAGAACUGUUGCUAUAAGCCUCAAAUAUUAAAGUCACUUCCCCUGUCUAGUACUGAACCUGGUUAAACCCAGUGGAUGUGUUUACACACCAGAUACCCCGCUUUUGUCCUGGUUCAAAGUCUCCUGAUUGCGAUCUGCAGGUGCUCAGCACCUGCAAGGUCCAGCCACGUGCCCCAUGUGUUGUCUUCCCCUUGGCGUGUAGAUGACUGUCUGUCAAAACUCUCCAUCUUUCCACGCCAUUUACCUGUUUCCUUUCGUUACCAUAGCAUCCAACACACAAAGCACUCUAUUCUUGUCUGGUAAAGUACAUGGGAGAAUGGAUCCAUGUUAAAACUAACUAAGCAAAAAAAAGACUGUUUUGUUUUAAAACGGGUGUUUUUCCUGUGCAGCUCAGCGCAUGGCUGUAAGAUGAGCAGUGCCAAGAGGGGAAUGUUGAGGACAGCAGCAGUGCCCAGGAGCUGGGGGAGGGCAGGGUCAUUUCUUCCACUAGCAGUGCAGGCUUAAAGUGUUUGUGUAACUACCAGGUGUGGUGUCACAAGCAGCUUAAGCGGAUCAAAUGAUGUGUUUUAUCAUCGCACCUGUUCGAUCUGAUGGGUAAAUGCUGCAGGAAAGUGCCGUUCCUUUACUCCUCUCUUCUGCUGUCCUAAACUGUGACCUGCCCAAGGUCACCGGUUCCUGCUGUCCCCUUCUCCCCCCUCUCCCUGUAUCAUAUCCCAUAAUCAUGAAGCCAGAGAAGAUACUGUUUCACCUGGCUAAUCCAAUGGAAAAAUGGGGGGCGAGGGUGAGGCCAGAUUUUUGCUGAAUCAGCCAACUCAACCAACCCGCUUUGCAGCCCAAGGCUGCUAAAGUUUAUGCAUGACAAUGUUAAUCUUGCCAGUUCAGUUUUUGGCAUGACCAGGUCCCUGAACUGCCACCCAGCCAGCUGCAGGAAGGGCAAUGCCGGUGCGAAGGCAAAGGUAGGAUUACACAAGUGGAAACAUAAGGAAGGGCACAUACGUACCAACAUGGUACACAGUGCUGCAGAAACACAGCAAAGACAAUCUAAAAAAACACUUAAAUAAGACAUGGAGAAUUUGUCUGUGACAACACCUACCAGCUGGGUUUACAGCAUUACAGCUGCAACAAAAGGAACAAUACGAACCACACGGUACUUUUCAGUCUGUGGCACUUGGCCCCUUCAAGAUCUUUGAGCUAUUUGUGAGAGGUCUGGGAAAAUGACAGACAAGCUUGUUGCCAGUAAGGCUUGUGCUUGCUGUAUGCACACCUGCACGUGGGCUGGAGAAUGGUUACUGGUCCUUAAAAACCAGAAAAAUACUACCACAUUAUUUACAGAGAGCACGAGUUCAGUGGUACACACAUUCCACUUGCUGACUCAUCCGCACUGUUGUUUUCCUUAGCAGGCUCAAGCAUCAGCAGCACUCAACGUACAGCAGACUCAAUGUGCAUCAUACUGCCUCAAAUAAAAGAGCCAAUACAAAUGUAUCCAUUUACAAAUUACGCUAGUUUGGCUUUACUAGGGAUCAGGAAAGAAAGACUGUACAAUUAUCUUUACGCAACUGACCUCUUUGCCUGGCAUUAGCACUCCUUGAUGAUCAGACUAUUUACAGCUACCUGUGAGAAGCACAGUACAAGUUGAUGUCACAAAUCUGCUUUAUAUGGGGUGCCCUCCUUCCGCAUAAGCAGUUCCAGGUCAGUUUUCUUACCUGUAAACUUGCAAUGAUCGCAUCAAAACAGAUCUUUCCCUCCUGGCCUGCCAGAACUGUUCUAUCCUGACAAUCUGUUGACUGGGCAGGACUUGCUUCCCUCAUGUCAUUGUUGCUUUGCACCUCAUGCAGAUCUUUUACUCCACUUCUCAGUCAAAGUUCUGGUUCCUCUAACUAAAACAAUGCCAGUCUGUGAAUUCUCUGCUAGUUUUCCCAUGGGCCUUCAAAAUGGGAUUCUUAGCAUCAAAACAUCCUUGUCAGAUGCCAGAAGAGUCAAAGCCAGUCCCUGACCGGUCACACCAGACCCGGAGUGGCAGGAGGGAACGCAUGGAUGAGCACAAAUUAUCUGUACAAAAUACCCCAAGAGCAGCCCUAGAAGUGUCAUGUGUCUCACUGACAGCCGGGACUCUGCUGGUGCUGGUACAAGCGAGUUUACGCACGUGUAGCAUUACUACUGAAAAGCUUGUGAGGGAUUUUUCUUUGAAAUUAGUGAACUUAAAUGCCUUUUUAAAAUGAUGUAAUGGGUUCUCUUAAUUUCCGCUGUGUAUAACAGCAUUAAUAAAAUCUAAUGGCUUCCAUG